rnacentral:lncRNA from 1 species
GUCUCCAUACCCCGUUCGAUAUGAGCGCCAAGACAUUAAACCUCAAUACCCCAUCCGGUAUGAGGGUGAAGUCGGCCAUCCCCAUACCCCGUCCGGUAUGAGACAACGUUCACAGUAGGGUUCCCAUUGAACUCGGUCCGUCCACCAUCUCCCAGGAUAUCUAGUGAGACUGUCACCUUAUCUGUUUAUUAGAUCACAUCUCCUUCUUGUUUCUCCUUAAUCUCCGUUACCAAAUUAAACAUAAUCACAUAAACAGUGAACAUGCACCUGGUAAUACAAUCAUAUCUUAAAUCCCAAAAUCACACAGUGAUCAAGUAAGACAGUAGUACAUGCAUUUAAAACUCUAAACCAGAUACCAUCAUGCCUUUACAAAAGGAAUCCACAUAAAUCCACAGCAAUCCAUAAUUAAUUAUGCAUAUUUAUCUAACUUGUACAAAUUUAUUCAAACUUCACAUCUAUGAUAGGAAAUAGGGUGAGGGGUCUUUACCUGAUUCGACG